GAUGAACGCUGGCGGCGUGCCUAAUACAUGCAAGUCGAGCGAACGGACGAGAAGCUUGCUUUUCUGAUGUUAGCGGCGGACGGGUGAGUAACACGUGGAUAACCUACCUAUAAGACUGGGAUAACUUCGGGAAACCGGAGCUAAUACCGGAUAAUAUUUUGAACCGCAUGGUUCAAAAGUGAAAGACGGUCUUGCUGUCACUUAUAGAUGGAUCCGCGCUGCAUUAGCUAGUUGGUAAGGUAACGGGUUACCAAGGCAACGAUGCAUAGCCGACCUGAUAGGGUGAUCGGCCACCCUGGAACUGAGACACGGUCCAGACUCCUACGGGAGGCAGCAGUAGGGAAUCUUCCGCAAUGGUCGAGAGCCUGACGGAGCAACGCCGCGUGAGUGAUGGAGGUCUUCGGAUCGUAAAACUCUGUUAUUAGUGAAGAACAUAUUUGUACGUAACUGUGCACAUCUUGACGGUACCUAAUCAGAAAGCCACGGCUAACUACGUG
rnacentral:rRNA from 1 species